GGGUUGUGAGGUUAAGCGACUAAGCGUACACGGUGGAUGCCCUGGCAGUCAGAGGCGAUGAAGGACGUGCUAAUCUGCGAUAAGCGUCGGUAAGGUGAUAUGAACCAUUAUAACCGGCGAUUUCCGAAUGGGGAAACCCAGUGUGAUUCGUCACACUAUCAUUAACUGAAUCCAUAGGUUAAUGAGGCGAACCGGGGGAACUGAAACAUCUAAGUACCCCGAGGAAAAGAAAUCAACCGAGAUUCCCCCAGUAGCGGCGAGCGAACGGGGAGCAGCCCAGAGCCUGAAUCAGUGUGUGUGUUAGUGGAAGCGUCUGGAAAGGCGUGCGAUACAGGGUGACAGCCCCGUACACAAAAAUGCACAUAUUGUGAGCUCGAUGAGUAGGGCGGGACACGUGGUAUCCUGUCUGAAUAUGGGGGGACCAUCCUCCAAGGCUAAAUACUCCUGACUGACCGAUAGUGAACCAGUACCGUGAGGGAAAGGCGAAAAGAACCCCGGCGAGGGGAGUGAAAAAGAACCUGAAACCGUGUACGUACAAGCAGUGGGAGCACGCUUAGGCGUGUGACUGCGUACCUUUUGUAUAAUGGGUCAGCGACUUAUAUUCUGUAGCAAGGUUAACCGAAUAGGGGAGCCGAAGGGAAACCGAGUCUUAACUGGGCGUUAAGUUGCAGGGUAUAGACCCGAAACCCGGUGAUCUAGCCAUGGGCAGGUUGAAGGUUGGGUAACACUAACUGGAGGACCGAACCGACUAAUGUUGAAAAAUUAGCGGAUGACUUGUGGCUGGGGGUGAAAGGCCAAUCAAACCGGGAGAUAGCUGGUUCUCCCCGAAAGCUAUUUAGGUAGCGCCUCGUGAAUUCAUCUCCGGGGGUAGAGCACUGUUUCGGCAAGGGGGUCAUCCCGACUUACCAACCCGAUGCAAACUGCGAAUACCGGAGAAUGUUAUCACGGGAGACACACGGCGGGUGCUAACGUCCGUCGUGAAGAGGGAAACAACCCAGACCGCCAGCUAAGGUCCCAAAGUCAUGGUUAAGUGGGAAACGAUGUGGGAAGGCCCAGACAGCCAGGAUGUUGGCUUAGAAGCAGCCAUCAUUUAAAGAAAGCGUAAUAGCUCACUGGUCGAGUCGGCCUGCGCGGAAGAUGUAACGGGGCUAAACCAUGCACCGAAGCUGCGGCAGCGACGCUGAUGCGUUGUUGGGUAGGGGAGCGUUCUGUAAGCCUGUGAAGGUGUGCUGUGAGGUAUGCUGGAGGUAUCAGAAGUGCGAAUGCUGACAUAAGUAACGAUAAAGCGGGUGAAAAGCCCGCUCGCCGGAAGACCAAGGGUUCCUGUCCAACGUUAAUCGGGGCAGGGUGAGUCGACCCCUAAGGCGAGGCCGAAAGGCGUAGUCGAUGGGAAACAGGUUAAUAUUCCUGUACUUGGUGUUACUGCGAAGGGGGGACGGAGAAGGCUAUGUUGGCCGGGCGACGGUUGUCCCGGUUUAAGCGUGUAGGCUGGUUUUCCAGGCAAAUCCGGAAAACUAAGGCUGAGGCGUGAUGACGAGGCACUACGGUGCUGAAGCAACAAAUGCCCUGCUUCCAGGAAAAGCCUCUAAGCAUCAGGUAACAUCAAAUCGUACCCCAAACCGACACAGGUGGUCAGGUAGAGAAUACCAAGGCGCUUGAGAGAACUCGGGUGAAGGAACUAGGCAAAAUGGUGCCGUAACUUCGGGAGAAGGCACGCUGAUAUGUAGGUGAAGUCCCUCGCGGAUGGAGCUGAAAUCAGUCGAAGAUACCAGCUGGCUGCAACUGUUUAUUAAAAACACAGCACUGUGCAAACACGA
rnacentral:rRNA from 1 species